rnacentral:lncRNA from 1 species
AAUGUUUAAAUUAUUUUCCACAAAAUAAAUGUUUGAUUAACAUAGCCUUGUAUUAAAAAUACCAGUGAUAUGGUUUGGCUCUGUGUCCCCACCAAAAUCUCAUGUUAAAAUGUAAUUCCUAAUGUUGGAGGAAGAACCUGGUGGAAGGUGACUGGAUUAUGCAGGAGGAUUUCCUCCUUGCUGUUCUCAUGAUAGUGAGUUUUCUCAAAAUCUGAUGGUUUAAAAGUGGGUGGCACUUCCCCCUUCACCUUUUCUCCUGCCACCAUGUGAAGACAUUCUUGCUUCCCCUUCCCACUUCUGCCAUGAUUGCAAGUUUUCUGAGACCUCCCAGCCAUGCUUCCUGUACAGGUUGCAAAACUGUGAGUCAAUUCAAUCUUUUUUUUUUUUUCCAUAAAUUACCCAGUCUCAGGCAGUUCUUUAUAGUAGUGUGAGAACAGACUAAUACAGAAAUUGGGACCAGAGAAGUGGAGCAUUGCUAUAAAGAUAGCUGAAAGUGUAGAAGCAGCCUUGGAACUGGGUAAUGGGAAGAGGCUAGAACAGAUUGGAGGCUGGUUGUGACCAAAAUGCGGAUAGUGAUAUGGACAAUGAUGUCCAGGCUGAGGAGGUCUCAGAUGGAGAUUAUACACUUACUUGUUGGGAACUGGAGUAAAGGUCACUUUUGCUAUGCUUUAGCAAAGAGACUGGCAGUAGUAUGCCCCUGCUCUAAGGAUCUGUGGAACCUUGAACUUGAGAGAGAUGAUUUAAGGUAUCUGUGGAAGAAAUCUCUGAGCACCAAAGCAUUCAAGAUGUGGGCUGGCUGCCUAAGCUAAUUUGCAUAAAUAAAAAAAUAGCCUAAAACUGGAACCUAUAUUUAAAAGAAAAGCAGAGCAUAAAGUUUGGAAAUUGCAGAACAGCCAUGUGGUAGAAAAGAAAACCCCAUUUUCUGUGGAGGAAUUCAAGAAGGCUCCAGAAAUUUGCAUAAGUAAGAAGGAUCCGAUGUUAACAGCCAAGAAAAAUGGGGAAAAUGCCUCCAAGGUAUUUCAGAUACCUUUGUGUCAGGCCCUCCUAUCACAGUCUCAGAAGCACAGAAGGGAAAAAUGGUUUUGUGGGUCAGGCCCAGUGCCCUACUGCUCUGUGCAGCCCUGGGACACUGCUCCCUGUGUUUCAGCCACUUCAGCUCCAGCUGUGGAUAAAAGGGGUCAAGGCACAGAAGGCUCAUAGGCAGAAAGGACUUGCCUUGUCUCAGAUGAGACUUUUGAUUUGAACUACUGAGUUUAUGUUGGAAUCAGGUAAGUCUUUGGGGGACUGUUGGGAAGGCACGAUUGUGUUUUAAAAUGUGUUCUGAAAUGUGAAGGGACAUGAGAUUUUGGAGGAUCCAGGAGCAGAAUGAUAUAGUUUGCCUUUUUGUCCCUACCCAAAUAUCAGUUUAAAUUGUAAUUUCCAAUGUUGGGGGAGGGACCUGGGGAGAGGUGAUUGGAUCAUGGGGACAAAUUUCCCUGUUGUUGUUCUCAUGAGAUAUAAUGGUUUAAAAUUGUGUGGCACUUUCCCCUUAGCUCUCCAUCUUCCUUCCACCAUGUGAAGAUGUGCUUCCUCCCUUUUGCCCUUCCACCAUGAUCUAAGUUUCCUGAGGCCUCCCGGCCACCCUUCCUGUGUAGCUUGUCGGUCUGUGAGUCAAUUAACCCUCCUUUCUACAUAAGUUACCAAGCCUUAUGUAGUUCUUUAUAGCAGUGUGAGAACAAGUUAAUACAAUCAGCCUUUUUUAAAAAAAAAAUUAUUUAAAAAAGAGAUGGAGAGGACAAAUAUAUAUGGAGCUAUGUUCAGUACUUACAACCUGAG